rnacentral:rRNA from 1 species
UACGUAGGGGGCUAGCGUUGCUCGGAAUGACUGGGCGUAAAGGGCGCGUAGGCGGUUUGGACAGUCAGAUGUGAAAUUCCUGGGCUUAACCUGGGGGCUGCAUUUGAUACGUGCAGACUUGAGUGAGGAAGAGGGUUGUGGAAUUCCCAGUGUAGAGGUGAAAUUCGUAGAUAUUGGGAAGAACACCGGUGGCGAAGGCGGCAACCUGGUCCUUGACUGACGCUGAGGCGCGAAAGCGUGGGGAGCAAACAGG